rnacentral:rRNA from 1 species
UACGUAGGGGGCAAGCGUUGUCCGGAAUUAUUGGGCGUAAAGAGCGUGUAGGCGGCCAGAUAAGUCCGCUGUAAAAUCUCGAGGCUCAACUUCGAGCUGUCGGUGGAAACUAUCUGGCUAGAGUCCGGAAGAGGAGAAUGGAAUUCCUGGUGUAGCGGUGAAAUGCGCAGAUAUCAGGAAGAACACCCGUGGCGAAGGCGGUUCUCUGGGACGGUACUGACGCUGAGACGCGAAAGCGUGGGGAGCGAACAGG